rnacentral:rRNA from 1 species
CCUACGGGUGGCAGCAGUGGGGAAUAUUGGGCAAUGGGCGCAAGCCUGACCCAGCAACGCCGCGUGAAGGAAGAAGGCUCUCGGGUUGUAAACCUCUUUUCGCAGGGACGAAGAAAGUGACGGUACCCGGGGAAUAAGCCACGGCUAACUACGUGCCAGCAGCCGCGGUAAUACGUAGGUGGCAAGCGUUAGCCGGAUGUAUUGGGUGUAAAGGGCGUGUAGGGGGGAGUGUAAGGCAGUUGUGAAAACUCAGGGCUCAACCCUGUGCCUGCAUUUGAAACGGGGUUUCUUGAGUGCUGGAGAGGCAAUCGGAAUUCCGUGUGUAGCGGUGAAAUGCGUAGAUAUCCGGAGGAACACCAGUUGCGAAGGCGGAUUACUGGACAGUAACUGACGCUGAGGCGCGAAAGCGUGGGGAGCAAACAGGAUUAGAUACCCGAGUAGUC